rnacentral:rRNA from 1 species
ACAUACGACCAUAGGGUGUGGAAAACAGGGCUUCCCGUCCGCUCAGCCGUACUUAAGCCACAAGCCGGCCGGUUAGUAGUUGGGUGGGUGACCACCAGCGAAUCCCGGCUGUUGUAUGUU